GCCGGUGUGUGAAGAAGGCCUUCGGGUUGUAAAGCACUUUUGUCAGGAACGAAACGGUGGGGGCUAAUACCUCCUGCUAAUGACGGUACCUGAAGAAUAAGCACCGGCUAACUACGUGCCAGCAGCCGCGGUAAUACGUAGGGUGCGAGCGUUAAUCGGAAUUACUGGGCGUAAAGCGUGCGCAGGCGGUUGUGCAAGACAGAUGUGAAAUCCCCGGGCUUAACCUGGGAAUUGCAUUUGUGACUGCACGGCUAGAGUGUGUCAGAGGGGGGUAGAAUUCCACGUGUAGCAGUGAAAUGCGUAGAUAUGUGGAGGAAUACCGAUGGCGAAGGCAGCCCCCUGGGAUAACACUGACGCUCAUGCACGAAAGCGUGGGGAGCAAACAGGAUUAGAUACCCUGGUAGUCCACGCCCUAAACGAUGUCUACUAGUUGUCGGGUCUUAAUUGACUUGGUCACGCAGCUAACGCAUGAAGUAGACCGCCUGUGGAGUACGGUCGCAAGAUUACAACUCACUGGAAUUGACGGCGGACCGCACAAGCGGUGG
rnacentral:rRNA from 1 species